rnacentral:rRNA from 1 species
UAAGAGAACCGGAACACAGGUGCUGCAUGGCUGUCGUCAGCUCGUGUCGUGAGAUUGUUGGGUUAAGUCCCGCAACGAGCGCAACCCUUGUCAUUAGUUGCCAUCAUUUGGUUGGGCACUCUAAUGAGACUGCCGGUGGACAAACCGGAGGAAGGUGGGGAUGACGUCAAGUCCUCAUGGCCCUUAUGGGUAGGGCUUCACACGUCAUACAAUGGUCGGUACAGAGGGUUGCCAACCCGCGAGGGGGGAGCUAAUCCCACAAAGCCGAUCGUAGUCCGGAUCGCAGUCUGCAACUCGACUGCGUGAAGUCGGAAUCGCUAGUAAUCGUGGAUCAGCAUGUCACGGUGAAUACGUUCCCGGGUCUU